AAAGGGGAGAUUCAUCGUCAGGGACGUUGCUAUCCGUGCGGUACGCGAUGCUCGGGGCUUCGGUCUCGAGUCACGCUGCCGCCGCGUGAUUCAGCGACGUUCUCGGCGUGCACUUCUCCCCUAGUAGAACGUCGCGACCCGUUGGGUGCUGGUCUACGGCUCGAAUCGUCGCCUGCCGCGUCGUCGCAAGACGCUCGCGCGGCAGACCUUUGAUCGCCCGAUCGGCUGCCCGGCGGUAAAGAUUGACUAUGGUAUAGGGUCGCAAUAAAUGCGUUCAGGCACGUCGGCAGGCGAGUUCAAGUCUGGUACAGGGACCUAGCGCCCUGCACCGGGCUUUGGCUUGCCUCUCGUCGGCGUUGUCCUCGGACAGGCUCUUGACAUUCGUUUACGGAUGUACCGGUCGGCGACGCUACUGCUUUGGGUACUUUCAGGACCCGUCUUGAAACACGGACCAAGGAGUCUAACAUGUGCGCGAGUCAUUGGGACUGUGAAGCCUAAAGGCGAAAUGAAAGUAAAGGUCGGCUUUACGCCGACCGAGGGAGGAUGGUCCGCGUCACGAUGCGGACCCGCACUCCCGGGGCGUCUCUAACUCAUUGCGAGUCGAGGCGCACCCAGAGCGUACACGUUGGGACAAAGAAAGAUGGUGAACUAUGCCUGGUCAGGACGAAGU
rnacentral:rRNA from 1 species